GCAGCCAAAUUUCUACUGGAUUGGAUGUUCUCCUUUUCUAAAACCAGCAGCGCCUUUGCAUUGAGGUCAAAUAUUUUCGUCCGUUCUUCACUUAACUUACCAGGACCUGGAACCAUCUACUGGGACCUUGGGCCAGCAACUGUUUCCAGAAGUUUUAUAACCUUAACUUUUGGGGUGAUACGCAAGUGAACCGCUUGCUUCAGGUUUUCAAUGUCUAUGGGAAGUUACAGCCAUAUCACAGCUACAUUUGACACAGAGAUAAAAUAGUGGACCCAGUAGACCCUACAGUACCUCCAUAUACAUCUUAUUUUGGAGAGAAUUCUCCCGUAGAAGUACCCAAUGGAGCCUGAACGGUAGCACUCAAAGGCAAGGUGGCUCCUUACUAGGAAAGACGACAUUUGAAGAUGUGACAUAAGGUCUUGACUUCCCAACCCCGGCACUGCGGUGAUAACUGUACAGGAUGAAACACUAAAAUCCUUUUCAUAUCUGGGAAAGGGAAUAAAGGAAAUAGAGAAGAAAUCGAAUUUAAAUAAGUUAUCUAAUAUUGUUAGACAUCAGGGCUCCAUGUGGAAUAUUACAAAUGUGAAGCUUCUUUAUCUCCACACUAUGAGGAGAAUUUAUCAUGGUGCGGGUGAUGUACAUGUUUUUUACCCUGCCAUGAUUAAGGGUCCAGCUUGACCCGAAACGCGUUGGUGUUUCUGUGUGCUCCAUGUGAUCGCCAUUAAAGUUUCUGUUAGACCUUAUCAUGCGCUGGACAUUCCUUCUCUUAGUUUUGCCUACAGGACCGGUGGCACAGCCGGUUAGUCAGGAAGCGGAUGGGAAAGUCAGGCUGGAAAGUCAGUAAACUUUUGCUGUUAUAUGUUUUUUACCCUAGUUUCCUUGCAAUGUAUUUGACAUGGCUGGGACUAACUUAUCAUAAAGUCGCACAGCCUUUCAUGAAUGGUGUGCAGGAGCCUCAGUGAUAAUGAUGACAGGAAAUAUUGCGUGGUAUAGACACUUUUUACAGCGUAAAGACCAUAAUAAAUGUCCUCCUAUUAGCACAGGAAAGGUUACGACUGAUGACCCCUACUUUUAACCCCUUUUUACUUACACUGGAUGUCAUCUUCACUGCGGAAGUGCUGAUGGAGCAUAGGAGCCCUUUUGGACAAGCACACAGAUUGUGUAGAUUAUAUGGCUCCACAAUGAUGCAGCCCUAGACAAUAUGAUGAAAUGUGGAUUUCAUUUCUCCCAGCGAACGUUCCUCCCUUGUAGACAGAGACGACGAGGAGAUGAAACAUGAAGGGAGCAGAGACGACAAUGGCGAUGGUACGAGUGUCAGAAGCCACUGCAGCGAUGUGAUUCACUGUACCCAGCGCUAAUAAAACACGAGGGAGGGACUACAUCUUAUAAGAUCAAUAUAUCUUUGAACUGAGCGCACAGUCUGAAACCCAGCAAAUUAUACGCCGCGCCGGCAUAAGAGCGACAGACAGCGCCCAAGGCAACUCUCCAAAAGAAAAACAAUCAAAAGGAAAAAAAUAAUAAUAAAACGGCAGUCAGCGGAGCGGGGGAGGGCGAUUAGAAUAUCUAUGGAAAUGGAUCCGUGAUUGGUCAAAGGGCAUCGCUCCAAUCAUACAUAAAAUAUUGCUAGAGCAACGCUCAUAUAUAAAGGGGUCACGACAUGAAAUAAAC